rnacentral:rRNA from 1 species
AUGUUGUACUCCCUCCGUCUUAAAAUAAGUGUUUCAACCUUAGUACAAUUUUAUACUAAAGUUAGUACAAAACUGAGACACUUUUUUUGGGAUGGAGGGAGUACAUUAUUGUUAUAUCUUUUGCUUAUGUUGUACACAUCUAGAAUAGGCAACAAUGAGAUGGUCUACCUGCACGAAGUUCAGUUCAGAAACUGCAUGCAAAUGUUAAAAAUUCAGAAUGUUUGUAAGAGAGUAAAACAGAGAAGGGAGAGAAGGAACAACCAAGAUGCAAGCUUUGUGCUACCACUCAAUCACAUAUGGUCUACAAUCUUGGUUACUCAAUGUUCAGGUUAUUGUUGA